CAAGUCGAACGAACCCUUCGGGGUGAGUGGCGCACGGGUGCGUAACGCGUGGGAACCUGCCUUUAGGUUCGGAAUAACAGUUAGAAAUGACUGCUAAUACCGGAUAAUGUCUUCGGACCAAAGAUUUAUCGCCUUUAGAUGGGCCCGCGUUAGAUUAGAUAGUUGGUGGGGUAAUGGCCUACCAAGUCGACGAUCUAUAGCUGGUCUGAGAGGAUGAUCAGCCACACUGGGACUGAGACACGGCCCAGACUCCUACGGGAGGCAGCAGUGGGGAAUAUUGGACAAUGGGCGAAAGCCUGAUCCAGCAAUGCCGCGUGAGUGAUGAAGGCCUUAGGGUUGUAAAGCUCUUUUACCAGGGAUGAUAAUGACAGUACCUGGAGAAUAAGCUCCGGCUGACUCCGAACCC
rnacentral:rRNA from 1 species